rnacentral:RNase_P_RNA from 1 species
ACGGAGGAUCGGGCAGCCGCUGUAAACGCACAAGAAAUUGUGUAUGCUUGCAGAGGAAAGUCCGGGCACCGCAGGACAGGAUACCCUGUUAGAGGGGGGCCCGUAAGGGUACGGAAAGUGCCGCAGAGAGAAGACCGCUCUCUUUGGAUAACGUGCGCGCGCAAGCGCGCCCUUACCAAAUGGGGUGAGAUGUGAAAGGGUGGGGUAAGAGCCCACCGUCCCGCAAAGCCGCGGGAGCCGGCAAACCCUAUCCGGUGCAAGGCCAAGCAGGCGGAGUUCCCCUUUACGGGGAGGGAGUGGUUCCGCUCUCAUCUCCCCGGGUAGGCCGCUCAACGCUUCAAAGACGCGCGUCUUUUGGGGCCAGACAAAUGGCUGCCUCUCUCUUUUGGAGACAGACAGAACCCGGCUUACAGAUCCUUUCCGUCCGU